rnacentral:rRNA from 1 species
GUCUACGGCCAUGCCACCCUGAACACACCUGAUCCCAUCUGAUCUCAGAAGCUAAGCAGGGUUGGGCCUGGUUAGUACUUGGAAGGGAGACUACCUAGGAAUACCAGAUGUUGUAGGUG